rnacentral:rRNA from 1 species
AGGGUGACAGCCCCGUACACAAAAAUGCACAUACUGUGAGCUCGAUGAGUAGGGCGGGACACGUGGUAUCCUGUCUGAAUAUGGGGGGACCAUCCUCCAAGGCUAAAUACUCCUGACUGACCGAUAGUGAACCAGUACCGUGAGGGAAAGGCGAAAAGAACCCCGGCGAGGGGAGUGAAAAAGAACCUGAAACCGUGUACGUACAAGCAGUGGGAGCACGCUUCGGCGUGUGACUGCGUACCUUUUGUAUAAUGGGUCAGCGACUUAUAUUCUGUAGCAAGGUUAACCGAAUAGGGGAGCCGAAGGGAAACCGAGUCUUAACUGGGCGUUAAGUUGCAGGGUAUAGACCCGAAACCCGGUGAUCUAGCCAUGGGCAGGUUGAAGGUUGGGUAACACUAACUGGAGGACCGAACCGACUAAUGUUGAAAAAUUAGCGGAUGACUUGUGGCUGGGGGUGAAAGGCCAAUCAAACCGGGAGAUAGCUGGUUCUCCCCGAAAGCUAUUUAGGUAGCGCCUCGUGAAUUCAUCUCCGGGGGUAGAGCACUGUUUCGGCAAGGGGGUCAUCCCGACUUACCAACCCGAUGCAAACUGCGAAUACCGGAGAAUGUUAUCACGGGAGACACACGGCGGGUGCUAACGUCCGUCGUGAAGAGGGAAACAACCCAGAC